rnacentral:rRNA from 1 species
UACGUAGGGUGCAGGCGUUAAUCGGAAUUACUGGGCGUAAAGCGUGCGCAGGCGGUUUCUUAAGUCAGAUGUGAAAGCCCCGGGCUUAACCUGGGAACUGCGUUUGAAACUGGGAGACUUGAGUGUGGCAGAGGGGGGUGGAAUUCCACGUGUAGCAGUGAAAUGCGUAGAUAUGCGGAGGAACACCGAUGGCGAAGGCGGCAUCCUGGACCAACACGUGACGCUGAUGAGCGAAAGCCAGGGGAGCAAACGGG